UAUUUAUCGUUGAUGAGGAGCAUUAAUUUCGAAAUCGUCAAUACAGAGAGCCGGCGCUAGGUGCGAGCCGGUUGGCGGAACGGAAUGAACUCACCUCGGAGUAACGGCGCAAAUGUUGCAGAAUCCGUCAAUACGGAACCCUGCUGGUUGAACGCCGUCGCCUCACCCCCGUUAAAGGGUGCAAAGUGAGUGGCAGAUCAAAGUAUGUUCAGCCGCUAACUAGGGUGGUACCACGGGAAUUUAAACCUCUCGUCCCUAGC
rnacentral:ncRNA from 1 species